GUCAGGAUGGCCGAGAGGUCUAAGCCGCGGAGUUCAGGUUUCUGUGGGCGUGGGUUCGAAUCCCACUUCUGACA